CCUACGGGGGGCAGCAGUGGGGAAUAUUGGACAAUGGACCAAGAGUCUGAUCCAGCAAUUCUGUGUGCACGAUGAAGUUUUUCGGAAUGUAAAGUGCUUUCAGUUGGGAAGAAAGAAAUGACGGUACCAACAGAAGAAGUGACGGCUAAAUACGUGCCAGCAGCCGCGGUAAUACGUAUGUCACGAGCGUUAUCCGGAUUUAUUGGGCGUAAAGCGCGUCUAGGUGGUUAUGUAAGUCUGAUGUGAAAAUGCAGGGCUCAACUCUGUAUUGCGUUGGAAACUGUAUAACUAGAGUACUGGAGAGGUAAGCGGAACUACAAGUGUAGAGGUGAAAUUCGUAGAUAUUUGUAGGAAUGCCGAUGGGGAAGCCAGCUUACUGGACAGAUACUGACGCUGAAGCGCGAAAGCGUGGGUAGCAAACAGGAUUAGAUACCCGUGUAGUC
rnacentral:rRNA from 1 species